UAAGAGGCGUGUCUACUACUGCUGCUACUAUGUGCGAUCAGAGUGAUCUUGUUCUGCGUCUAGACUAGGGGUCAGUAUGGACCAGCAGACUGCUAAGUAAUCUUCUCCGUAAUAAUGUCCGUUGGCUUGAGGCCAUACCUUGUACGCUGUCAGUGGUUUGGUGUGCCGUUGCACUCGGUUGCCUUAUGCCACAGAUCUAUCGUAUGAAAUGCAGUAGUGACUUUGAAUGGUACCUUGCGCAUGAUCUUUAUGUGCAUUUUAUUUUUGAGAUGCCCUCGAUUUCAGUCGCAAUAUUGCUUAGGUUUCGUUACAGGAUCAAAGAUACUGAAAACCGCAUUGUUGGGAUAGCUAUUGUUGUUUGCCGACUCUUCACAUUGUCAGCAACCCAAUUUUAUGGCGUUGAAGUUAUGUCUAGCUCUGCUGGUCGAGACCGUCUCCGGCCCCCCGGGUCGCUCGCACGGGCGACUUUGGAUGCCACCAAGCUCGCCGCCGCCACCCCAGCCGACCCACCGUCGCCGGAGAAGCAAUCGGUGUUGACGAUGGCUCCCCUUGCUAUCCCUUUGUUCCCUCCCCAUAACCUAUGGUUGUCUUCCACCUCGUCGAUUUGCAGCGCACUCGCCAGAUCCGCCUCUGGUGUGGCGUUGACUUGGUGUGCAACGACGGCCUGCAGCGUUGGGCAUGAUCACAUCUCGCCAUGGUGCCUGUCUUGCCGGGCUCCUUCUCUAGCCAUGGUUGUGUGUGUGGAGUUAGUUGGAGCGUUUGGAUCCGUGCAAGCGCCAGAGGUCGUGACCACCCAACAGUGGAUUUGCCCCACUUUACAAGGGGUUGGAUGAUUUGCCCUUUGAUUGUCUCAAUGACAGUGGCCCCGGGCCCCACCCGGUAGCCUCUCAGGGGGGGCAAAUGAUCCAAUGGAGAAGUAAAGUGGGGCAAAAGAUCCAAUUUCUCGGUCGGUGAAGGCCGCGACGGUCCGGGGCAUGGUUUUGGUGAAUAGGAUUCGAUCAAGGCAAGUGACAUGAGAAGCAAUCUAUGGACAUGGAGGAUAUGGUUGUGCGGCAGCGGGGGAGGGACUUCUGACCCAGCACAUGUAGCUGCGGGAAUCAGCAUUGCUCAGAUAUGUUCAGACUUGUUUCUGAGGGUGAAAACUUAGAAUCUGGCCUUUGGUGGUGGAUCCAGUGACGGCGGAGCUUGAGUGUCGUUUACUUUUCAGGUGUUGCUACCGAAGAACCUUGUUGCUUUAUGGUGUCAAGAGAUCGUUGGUGCGGAGAUGGUCGUUGAUGUAGUUGGUCGAUUUUUCCUUUUCCUCACUGCAUAGAUUUGGUCUUGUAUGACUUUGCUAUUUGUCGGCGUGUUUAUUUGUGUGUGCACAUUGGUGUUGGUUGUAUGCAUCCUAACUAUGUAGAAUCCGGGUGUGUAUUUAUUGCGUUUGUAUCAGCUUCAUGCUCCAUUUUAAGGUAAUAAAAAGUAUUACCGAUGACUUUAUUAUUCUUGGAGGUUUUGAAUAGCCGUAGUGCCCACAAGAAGGGGUGAGCCACAUGCAUGACUAUUCUUGCCUGCUGGACCACCAACACUUCAUUCUUGGACCUCGCUUUUGAAUAUUUUGACUCUUCCAUGCUGUGUCUUAGGAACCUUUUCAAUAUGGUCCGGAUUGCUAGCUCCCGUUCAUAGUUAUGCUAGAGACGAUACACGUCUGUCUAAAACUCAGUCGACAACUCAGUCGACUGAGACUUCAUGAAAUUUCAAUCGAGUUACGUCGGCGUAGUUGUGGUGUUGCAAGCGGCAUGGCUGAAUGCUGCAAAAGGCAAUGAAAAAUGUUGCGACAGUACUACCAGCAAUGACAACAUAUGCUACAACCAUUCUGACUAAAAAUGCUACUCCCUCCGGUCCUUUUUAGUCCGCACUUAAGAAAAAUCCAUUUUUCCCAUAAUGCUCUGCGUAUUGGCGUGUUUUGGCAGUUCUUUCCAACUUUGCCCCUCCUUUACGUUCGCUCCCACGCGUGCCCGCAGUUACUCCCGUCUCUCUCUGUUAUGCUGCUACGCACGUCUUUCACGUCUUCCCAAGGCAGGCAGCCGCCUACCUCUUCCUCUCCUCUGUCAUACGCCAUGCAACAGGUGAGAGAUUGGCAUGGAUGCUGAGAAGAUUUUGUAGAGAGAGAGACACUAGUGCAGAACCGGGCUAUAGCACCGGUUCGUAAGGCCCUUUAGUGCCGGUUCUGCAACCGGCACUAAAGGGUGGGGACUAAAGGUCCCCCCCUUUAGUACCGGUUCUACACGAACCGCCGCUAAAGGGCCACCACGUGGCACGAGCCAGCGCCGGGGGCAGGGAGCCCUUUAGUACCGGUUUGUAACACCAACCGGUACUAAAAUGUUUGGUGGUUUUUGGGUUAAUGAUUUUUUUUCUUUAAUUUUGUGUUUUCCAUUUAAUUCUUUUUCGUUUGCUGGUAUUUUACGAUACUACAUAUUGUACACGUUAUGCAUAUAUAUAAAUAGAUCAUAAGACAAGAAAAAUUUGCAGUUUAUGUGUAUCUUACACUAUUUUUUACGUUUGUAAUUUUACAUAACAGAAAAUAUUUUUUACAACGAUUAUAUAUUUUCUUACGGUCUCUUUUUACGUCGGAAAUAAGACAAAACUUACGGAACGUAAAAUUACGGUGCGUUGAUAGUAAAAUAGAGGGGGGUGAAGAAUAACUAUUCCUCACCCAGGGUGAUGAAUAGUCAAUCCCUAUAUAUAUAUAUAUAUAUACUACCAUGUGGUACUAUAUAUAUACUAUUUUAUUAUUUUAAAUAUGUUCAUAUACUAUAUAUACUAUUUUAUAUCGAAUGUCUCACAACCACUACCAUUCACACAUACACAUGUAUAUAUAUAUACAAUUACGUAUAUACAAUUUCUCCUACAUGUUGGCUUCGUAGCCAGUGGCAUUUGCCUUGGUGCCUUCGGAGCACGAUGACAAUUGGGAGUGGUUCAUGGGGGCGGUAGCGGGUAAUGGUAUUAUCUUUUGGAAUCUAUGACCUGGUCGAGAAAAAAUCCCGCUAUUUCCUCUUGAAGUGCUCGUAUGCGCUCCGUUGGUAGGAGCUUCUCCCGCAUCUCAUUGAACUUUUCAAAAGGAGAUCAAUAUGCAUGUAUUAGUUGUGUGAUUAGAUAUCGAUAAUGACGUAAAAAUUGUGAAUAGUUUUCUGGCAGACCUACCCAUAGCUGUCUAUCAGAUCUGCUCCUUUCGGACGCCAGCAUGCGAAUGUUCUCGCAAAUGUAGUAUGCACACAGUUCAGUCCCCGCCGCCUGCUUCAGGGUCUUUACAAAAAUAAAAUUUAAUCAGACAAUAAUUAAUCAAGCAUGAUAAUUAUAAUGGUAUUGAAACAAUAAUUGAAGAGAUGGUAGCUAGCUAGUACUACUUAAUUACUUACCUUGGGUCGAUACCAAAACAGAUUUUUUUGCCAUUUGCCUGGAGUCACGCUGAUGAACUUUUCCCAAGCCCUGCCCGUCGGCAAAGAAAAUGAAUAAAGGAGUUAUUAAAUAGUUGAUAUCAGGAAAUGACGAACUAAAGAGGCCGACAUAUGGUUAAUAAUGAUUGAAAUUACCUGUCGACUAUCCCCUUCAAGAUUGAGUAGUCACUUUGUUUUUUAAGUAGUGAGUCCAGUACUUCAACUUUUCCUUCUUCAACUUUAAUGAUUAACAAGAUCCAGUGGUAACUGCAUGCGCACACGUUUGCAUGUCUUAGUUAAGCGGGCAUGUGCAUAACACUCAUCAACUAUACCCUAAACCCUAUACACUUAAUUAAGUAAGCAAAAACAGAAUUUGUAGUACAAGACAGUGUGACUCACAGGAAGUUGUAAGGAAGUAGUAUAUCUUCAUUGGUAUUGAGGCGCUUCAAGAACUCUAGCAUGUUUUUCUCUACAUUUUUUUUAUAAUAUUCCAUUUUCCAUGUGUCUUCAUUAAUGGUAUUUGGGUCAAUGAACCCAAUGCCAUAGCGUCCAUCUUUUUUCAUUUCAUACAUCUUCAUCCUGCAUAAUACCACAGAAAAGAAUAUAGUGAGGAUAAUUACAUGUUAUGAUCGAUCAAUGAGCACUACAGCUAGCUUGAGACUUCAAUUACAGAAAGAAAUCACUUACAGACAAUAGCAACUGACAAGAGAUUUGUCGAGUGCGUCUUGAUUGAAUAACUGAAAUAGUUCUGAAUACUCAACGGACAGAGCUAGCUGAUGGAAGUAAUGCUCUUCCUUGACGUUCACCAUGAGGGACUCUCGAUUGGAACUCUUGGUAAUUUUCAUGUACCAAUCAUGCAAUUCAUACAUUCUCGUUGGGAGGUUCUUGACCUCCUCAGGCUCGACCAAAGGUUCGCCGCGGACAUAUUUCCGUUUUAUGUCCUCCUCUCUAAGCGGAGACAUGGUCUCAAUCUCGAGGAGUUGUCCAACAGGAUACCGAGCAUUUCAGCCUGCCUUCUAUGCUCGUCGGUUUUUACCAGCUGACCGGCGUCGGUACUCUCAUGUGUUGGUACAACAAGCGGGGGGGGGUCGAUUGUGCCGCCUGUUCUCCCAGCUGUGGAACGGUUUUCCCGCAUUUUUUGCCAGCUGCUUGGCUCGAGCUCGAGCUCGAGUCCUUCUGUAGUCAUGCUCGAUGUGCCUUCCUGAUUUGGCGCUCAUAGUCUGAGUCAACAGGCUUGGGAGCUGGUGCUCUAGCCAUAUGAAUAAAGUGGUCAAUCUUAUCCCCAGGCACUUUCUCCCUUGGCGGCGGUGCCGGUUUCGGUAAAAAAAUGGGCGUCCACUUGGACCUUCACUAUGGCUACGUUUUGCUCCUCGGUCAUGUCGUAAGGCCUCUGCAGAAGAGGCACGAGGCUUGGACCAUAUUGAAAUUGCUUGCCUCCGCCUGUACCUCCUGUACUACCUCGACUUGUAGCGCUACGCACCAUAGCUGCGGCGGCUCUCUUCCGCUGUUGCUGAGUUGGCGGCGGAGACUGAUGACGUGGCUGACUUGAAGGAGAAGUGGGCUGACGCGGUGCCAGACUUGGAGGAGGAGGAGUGGGCUGACGCGGUGCCGGACUUGGAGGAGGAGGAGUGGGCUGACGCGGUGCCAAACUCGGAGCAGGAGUGGCCUGACGCGGUGCCGGACUCGGAGCAGGAGUGGCCUGACGCGGUGCCGGACUUGGAGGAGGAGGAGUGGCCUGAUGCGUUGGCGGACUUGAAGGAGCAGGACUGUGCUGAGGCGGCGGCUGAUGAUCACUUGGAGGAGCGGGAGAUUGCUGACGCGGUGGCGGACUUCGAGGAGGAGUCGGCUGACGCGGUGUCGGUGGCCUUGGAAAGAUGAUGCAAUCCUUUCUUCAUAGGAUGAUACGAUGUUUGGCCUCUCCCAGUGUGUGCUCCUCGUCACCUCUAGGAAUGUCAAGCUCUAGCCCCGAAUACUGGUCCACCACUUCAUCAACCCGGACAUGAGCAUAGCCAGCUGGAAUCGAGUUGCAAUGGAAGGUUGCUUCGGGGGAAUUUGUAUAAGCAACGGCGUCCGCCACCUUCAUGGAUAUGUUCUUCAUUUUGAAGUGUAGCUCACAAUUAGUACUCUCCAUGAUGUCAUCCACAGGGUAUCUAUCCAGCAACUGUGCCUCGCCCGAGGCGGAACCCACGCUGCUUCUCGGCAUUGAUGGGACGGUGCUAUCCAAUGCUGGAUUAUCCGCUAGCUGCUGCCACUGCUAAGACCCCCUUUCUUGGCUAAGUGAGUUGAUUUGCUGCCGCUGGAAUUGGAGUGCCAACUCCGCGUGCUUUGAUUCUAGGCCUUUAAGGCGUUCUGCUUCCUGCUUCCUCUGCUCCUCCUCCAGCUUCCUCUUCUUCUCCUCCUCCAUCUUCCUUCUCGCACGACUUCUGUUGUCGCCGUUCCAGUCCUUAAACCCCUCAUACCACGGAACAACGCCUUUGCCUCGUAUUCUUCCCGAGUGUUCAGGAUUUCUCAGGGCGCGCGUAAGCUCGUCGUUCUCUCUGUUGGGCGUGAACACCCCCGUUCGAGCCUCUUCUAUUGCAUCAAGUAUCUUAUCUUCGACUCCUUUAAGACUUGCCCUCUUCGAAACCUUGCAUAUCUUCGGGUCCAACGCCCCCCAUGCGCAUAGAACCAAGUCUGGACCCUGGGGGGGCCAGCUCUUAGUAACUGGAGUGACCUCUGCAUCCAUCAUCUUUUGCUCAGACUCAUCCCACUUAGGCAUUGCCACCGCGUAGCUACCUGGCCCCAGCUUAUGGAACUGCUCCUUUUUUGCGGCAUUGGCCUUGUUUACUCUCGACCGUUCCUUAGCUAAUUUCGAUUCCUUGAAUUUCAAAAAAUCGGCCCAGUGCUCUCUCUGCUUCUCCAGUGUUCCCUUGAAUUCUGGAGUCUUAUUUCCUCCUUCGACGUACUUGGCCUAUACAGAUUUCUUGUGGUUGUUGAAUGCAACUGCCAUCUUCCUAAGAGUAGCGGCCUUCACUUUCUGCACAUCUGCAUCUGUGAAAUGAUCUGGUAGGGUGAAAUGUUCCAUGAGAGAUUGCCAAAGCAGAUCUUUUGCUCUGUCGUCGACCCAAGUAAGAUUUGGACGUUCCUUUGCUGGCUUUUUCCAUUCUUGCGCGGAGAUAGGGAAUUGUUCCUUCACAAGAACUCCGCACUGACGAACGAACUUGUUCGCAUUCUUCUUAGGCAAGAUUGGUUUGCCAUCAGUUUUGAUGGCAUCGAUGUUGUACUUUACGCCCGGCUUCAACUUUUUGUUCGGGCCUCUCACUGUCCUGUUGUCAGAUUUGCUCGAUCCGGAGGGCUGAAAGAAGAAAGAUCGAUUGGUUAAUAUAUCUUCAAAUCAUUUAAAACAUGUGAUGAUCACCAGAUGCCUGCUUAUAUAAAUAUACCUCGCCGGUCUUUGUUCUAAUUUCAAGAUCAACAUUUUCUUAGUCAUCAUAAUCAUAGUUCUGGACUUCAUCAAUUCGGUCAUCACGAUCGAAUAUCAUAUCACCCUCCCCGGUAUUGUUCAGAUAUUGGGAGCCGUCAUCUUCUUCAUUCUGAUCAUCUGGCCGACCAGGGGAGCUUAUGAUCUCGAACAAGGCCUCUUCUCCUUCUCUGCCGGUAUUGUCCGCCAUCGCUUUUAUUUAACUAAUCCAGAAGAAAUAUAAAACAAUUUAGUAUUCAAAGUAUGCAUGCAAUCAAUACGGAAAAACUGAAUCAAAGUACAUAAUAUGCAUCAUCGAAUAUAAUCUCGAAUACAUCGUCUUGAAUAUUAUCGAAUAAUAUAUAUAAUCUCGAAUACAUCGUCUCGAAUAAUAUAUAUAAUCUCGGAUGCAUCGUCUGGAAUAUAUAUCGAAUACAUCACUAGCUAGCUAGCUAGCUGGCUAAUAAAGAUCGAAUACUACAGAAUAAUCUAGUUCACUCGCGGUUCCUGAGGCGCGGGUGGUGGACACCCAAAGAGAAGGAACCAUCACAGGAUCAUAGCUCGGGUGAGAUCCCCGAAGAACCUGCCAGGUAUUGGAGAACCUGACGUCCAUAGCAGCCAUGUCGCGACUGACGUGCUCGUCCUCCUCCCUGACACGGCGACGUACCACCUCCGGCGGGUCCGGCUCCCUCUGCACCAAAAGUGGCCCACACGAACGCCACCAAAGGAGCUCAGGGUCGACGACGGGACCCGGGGCCGGGUUCCUCACCAAGCGGCGCGCCCCUGAAGGUCGCACCUCCCAAUGCCAGCCCGGCGGAGCCCAGUCCCGGACAUGGGUCCUCUGAAGCAGGACGUCGUCGCGAACGGGUCGACGGCGAGGAUGCGGGCCGGGCAUCGUUGACGUCGAUAACAAAUUCUUAUGAAAAAAUUCCUAUAUAUGCAAUGUCAUUUUAUUUGGAAAUUUUGAGCAACUUUUUCCUAUGCAACUUUUUUAUAUGCAAUUUUUUCUAUACUAGGAUAUACAACAUUGUAUAAAAUUAAAAAAGAAAAAGAAACACUAAUUAAGCAUCUAACACUAAAAACAAAAAAAGCAACUUCUAUACAUCCAUUAAAAACAGAAAAACAACAUUAUAUACAAAAUUCCAUACUAAUUAAACACUAAUUAUAUCCAUCUAACAUGCAUUCAUACAUAUAUACUAGUGAAAAAAUAAUAAUCUAAAACAUCUAAACUAAUUAAACAUACAAAAAUACAUAUAUACUAAUUAACUUAAGAAAAUGUGUGUGUGGGCUCGGGNNNNNNNNNNNNNNNNNNNNNNNNNNNNNNNNNNNNNNNNNNNNNNNNNNNNNNNNNNNNNNNNNNNNNNNNNNNNNNNNNNNNNNNNNNNNNNNNNNNNNNNNNNNNNNNNNNNNNNNNNNNNNNNNNNNNNNNNNNNNNNNNNNNNNNNNNNNNNNNNNNNNNNNNNNNNNNNNNNNNNNNNNNNNNNNNNNNNNNNNNNNNNNNNNNNNNNNNNNNNNNNNNNNNNNNNNNNNNNNNNNNNNNNNNNNNNNNNNNNNNNNNNNNNNNNNNNNNNNNNNNNNNNNNNNNNNNNNNNNNNNNNNNNNNNNNNNNNNNNNNNNNNNNNNNNNNNNNNNNNNNNNNNNNNNNNNNNNNNNNNNNNNNNNNNNNNNNNNNNNNNNNNNNNNNNNNNNNNNNNNNNNNNNNNNNNNNNNNNNNNNNNNGCGGCGACGGCGACGAGGGCGGCGACGACGCGCGACGGGGGCGGCAACGGCGUCGAUCGAGCGGGGCAGGCGGUGCGUCGUCGAUGGAGAAACAGAGGAAGAAAGCAGAGGGAGAAUGAAAUUUUUUCAAGUGUUGUUUAUAUAGGAGGGACCUUUAGUCCCGGUUGGAGCCACCAACCGGUACUAAAGGUCUAUUUUGGCCAGGCGGAGCGGUGGGAAAGGCAGGCCUUUAGUACCGGAUGGUGGCUCCAACCGGUACUAAAGACCCCCCCUUUAGUACUGGUUGGAGCCACCACCCGGUACUAAAGGUUGUGCGCUUACUAGCGAGGGGCGCAGAAGUUUAGUCCCACCUCGCUAGCCGAGGGGCACCCGUGCCUGCUUAUAAGCCCCGCCGCCGCUGUUGUCUCGAGCUCCUCUCUAAAGCAGGCCUUCUGUGCCUACCUCUGUUGCGAUGCCCUGUUGGGACUUCUGGGCUAGCGGGCAUGCAGGCCGCUGUGGCCCAGUAGGCGGGCUUUUUCUAUUUAGUUUUUUCUUUUUUUUCUUUUGUGCUUUAUUUAUUUUCUUUUAUUUACUUUUGAGUUGUUUUUUUGCUGUAUUUAGAGUUUCUUUGUGAAUAUUUUUGCUUUAGGUACAAAAAAUUAUAAACUUUCUGUUAGUGCCGGUAGUUUUCAAAUUUGAAUAGUUUAAAUUUGAAUUAUUUCAAAUUUGUGUGAAUCACUAUUUUGUGAAUAACUUAACUUUAAAAAUAGAAUUUUCUGUGAUUCCUUUUUCUUAUAUUUAAUAUUAGUGUGUUUUAUCAUUAUAUUCAAUUUGGUAAUACUUAGGUUAUUCAAAAAAUGAAAUGCCUUUGUAACAGAUGAGUUUUCGUCCGAAACCCUGAUACUUCGAAAGAGAUUGUCCAUUUUGUACACGAAGUGCAUCCAGUUUUUGCCGUAACCCUCUCUACUUUUUUGCACAUGCUAUGUGGGUGAAAUUAUGAUACCAUGCCAACUUUCAACCUUUUCAGAGUUCAUUUGAAGUGUUUUUCAAUUUUAGGGUCAUUUAGCUGGAAAAAAAAAUCAGUAAAUGCAUGAAAAAUAGCAAAUGAAGUCAGAAAGGGUUGAAAAUUGAUGACGCGGCUUUGAAUGGUGCAUACUGAAUGGACAAAAUGUCUGGAGUUGUAAUAAGUAAAAAAAAUGAAAUGCCUUUGUAACAGAUGAGUUUUCGUCUGAAACCCUGAUACUUCGGAAGAGAUUGUCCAUUUUGUACACGAAGUGCAUCCAUUUUUGCCAGUAAAUGCAUGAAAGAAUUUGUUUGCACAUAAAAUUUCUUCACGGUUUCAAAUGCCAAAACACAUAAGUACCCUAACUAUUACAAAGAUUCCCUACUGUUUGUCCAAAGUGGGACUUUCCACUUAUAUAAGUCCAGAAACUCACUAGAGAAGAAAGUGAUGACAGUGAAGCCGAUCACAUCCCAGAUUGGGAUCUUUGGGCCGUGUGAAACAUUUUCUUCGCUUGUGUCCCUUUGCGCCGUAACCAUGGACAAUCUUCAUCAUUUAACUGGAUGCUCGGGUUAAUAUUCACUCUGAAUGGAGCAAUUUCAUCAAACUUUUCAUAAUCUUCUGAUAUGUCUGUCUUGUCAUCCACUCCCACGAUGUUUCUUUUCCUUGAAAGAACUAUGUGGCGCUUUGGCUCAUCGUAUGAUGUAUUCACUUCCUUAUCGUUUCUUUUUCUCGGCUUGGUAGACAUGUCCUUCACAUAGAAAACCUGCGCCACAUCAUCGGCUAGGACGAAUGGUUCGUCUGCGUACGCAAGAUUGUUGAGAUCCACUGUUGUCAUUCCGUACCGCGGGUCUUCCGUUACCCCGCCUCGUGCCAUAUUGACCCAUUUGCACCGAAACAAAGGGAUGUUCAAACCACGUCCAUAGUCAAGUUCCCAUAUGUCCUCUAUGUAACCAUAAUAUGUGUCCUUUCCCGUCUUGGUUUCUGCAUCAAAGCGGACACCACUGUUUUGGUUGGUGCUCUUCUUAUCUUGGGCGAUUGUGUAAAGUGUAUUCCCAUUUAUCUCGUACCCUUUGAAAGUCAUUAUAUUCGAAGAUGGUAACUUGGACAGCAAGUACAUGUCAUCUUCAAUAGCGGCGUCAUGCAUGGCACGUGUCUGCAACCAACCGGCGAAAGUCCCCGUUUGUUCACGUGUAAUCGAGUCGUCAGACUACUCCGGGUGUUUGGAGCGUAGAAAAUUCUUGUGUUCCUCCAUAUACGGAGCCACCAAGGCGGAAUUCUGUAGAACUGUGUAGUGUGCUUGAGUGAGAGAAUGCCCGUCCAUACAUAUUGUUUGAUUCCCUCCCAGCGUGCCUUUUCCACCCAGUCUGCCCUUAUGCCGUGAUUCAGGAACACCAAUCGCAUUAAGGUCAGGAAUAAAGUCAAUACAAAACUCAAUGACCUCCUCAUUUUCAUGGCCCUUGGAGAUGUUUCCUUCUGGCCUAGCACGGUUAUGAACAUAUUUCUUUAAGACUCCCAUGAACCUCUCAAAGGGGAACAUAUUGUGUAGAAAUACAGGACCAAGAACGUUAAUCUCUUCGCAUAGGUGAACUAGGACGUGCGUCAUGAUGUUGAAGAAGGAUGGUGGGAACACCAACUCGAAACUGACAAGACAUUGCACCAAAUCAUUCUCUAACCUAGGUAUGAUUUCUGGAUCGAUUACCUUCUGAGAAAUUGCAUUGAGCAAUGCACAUAGCUUCACAAUGGCUAAUCGAACGUUUUCCGGUAGAAGCCCCCUCAAUGCAACCGGAAGCAGUUGCGUCAUAAUCACGUGGCAGUCAUGAGACUUUAGGUUCUGGAACUUUUUCUCUGCCAUAUUUAUUAUUCCCUUUAUAUUCGACGAGAAGCGAGACCGUACCUUCAUACUGAGCAGGCAUUCAAAGAAGAUUUCCUUCUCUUCUUUGGUAAGAGCGUAGCUGGCAUGACCCUGAUGUAUGCCGUCUUUUCCGUGCAUACGUUGUUGGUCCUCUCGUGCCUCCGGUGUAUCUUUUGUCUUCCCAUACACACCCAAGAAGCCAAGGAGGGUCACACAAAGAUUCUUCGUCACGUGCGUCACGUCGAUUGCAGAGCGGACCUCUAGGUCUUUCCAAUAGGGCAGGUCCCAAAAUAUAGAUUUCUUCUUCCACAUGGGUGCACGUCCAUCAGCGUCAUUCGGAACAGGUUGUCCGCCAGGACCCUUUCCAAAGAUUACCUUCAAGUCCUUGACCAUAUCAUGUACAUCAGCACCAGUACGGUGGCGAGGCUUCGUCCGGUGAUCCGCCUCACCUUUGAAAUGCUUGCCUUUCUUUCGUACGAGAUGCCUGCUCGAAAGAAAUCGACGAUGUCCCAGGUACACAUUCUUCUUACAAUUAUUCUAAUAUAUACUAUCGGUAUCAUCCAAACAGUGCGUGCAUGCGCGGUAUCCCUUGUUUGUCUGUCCUGAAAGGUUACUGAGAGCAGGCCAAUCAUUGAUGGUCACGAACAGCAACGCCUUUAGGUCAAAUUCUUCCUGUCUGUGCUCAUCCCACGCAUGUACACCUGUUCCAUUCCAUAGCUGUAAGAGUUCUUCAACUAAUGGCCUUAGGUACACAUCAAUGUCGUUGUCGGGUUGCUUAGGGCCUUGUAUGAGCACUGGCAUCAUAAUGAACUUCGGCUUCAUGCACAACCAAGGAGGAAGGUUAUACAUACAUAGAGUCACAGGCCACGUGCUAUGGUUGCUGCUCUGCUCCCCAAAAGGAAUAAUGCCAUCUGCGCUUAGACCAAACCAUACGUUCCUUGCGUCACCUGCAAACUCCUUCCUGUACUUUCUCUCGAUUUUUCUCCACUGCGACCCGUCAAUGGGUACUCUCAACUUCCCGUCUUUCUUACGGUCUUCUCUGUGCCAUCGCAUUGCCUUAGCAUGCUCUUUGUUUAGGAACAAACGUUUCAACCGUGGUAUUAUAGGAGCAUACCACAUCACCUUGGCAGGAAUCUGCUUCUUCCUGGGGCACUCGCCCUCAACAUCACCAGGGUCAUCGCGGCUGAUCUUAUAGCGCAAUGCACCGCAUAUCGGGCACGCUUCAAAUCCGCGUACUCGUCGUGGUAGAGGAUGCAGUCAUUAGGGCAUGCAUGUAUCUUCUGCACCUCUAAUCCUAGAGGGCAGACAACCUUCUUUGCUUCGUACGUACUCUCGGGCAAUUCGUUGUCCUUUGGAAGCAUCUUCUUUAACAUUAUGAGCAACUUUACAUAUCCCUAGUCAGAUACACCAUUCUCUGCCUUCCAUUGCAGCAAUUCCAGUGUGGUGCCCAACUUUUUCUUGUCAGCUUUGCAAUUCGGGUACAACAAUUUCUUGUGAUCCUCUAACAUGCGCUACAACUUUUUCUUCUCCUUUUCACUUGCGCAGUUUCUCUCUGCAUCGGCAAUGGCCCGAUCUAGAUCAUCAGUUGGCUCAUCUGAUGCCUCUUCUUCAGCUUCUUCCCGCAUUGCCGGCUCAGCUUCUUCCCGCAUUGCCGGCUCAGCUUCUUCCUCCAUUGUUGUAUCAUCGUAUUCAGGGAACCCAUGGCCAGGAUAGUUGUCGUCGUCCUGCUCUUCUUCAUUGUCCUCCAUCAUAACCCCUCUUUCUUCGUGCUUGGUCCAAACAUUAUAGUGGGGCAUGAAACCGGACUCAAACAGGUGGACGUGAAUGAUUCUUAACUUAGAGUAAUUCUGACCAUUCUUACAACCAGCACAUGGACAAGGCAUAAAACCAUCCGCCCGCUUGUUUGCCUCAGCCGCAAUCAGAAAAGUAUGCACGCCAUCAACGAACUGGGGAGAGCAUCGGUCAUCGUACAUCCAUCUGGAAGACACAUUCUGAUGACUACCUCAUAGUUUAGUGCGCCAUGCUUUGCGGCUUAGAGUCGGGGCUCCAAAAGCGUUUUGAACGCCAUGGAACAUAUGAGAUGUUCCAAGAGCUGAAAUUGGUAUUUCAGGCUCAUGCCCGUGUUGAGAGGUUUGAGACCUCUGACAAGAUCUUUGCCUACAAGAUGGAGGAGAAUAGCUCAGGCAGUGAGCAUGUGCUCAGAAUGUCUGGGUACUUCAAUCACUUGAAUCAAGUGGGAGUUAAUCUUCCAAAUAAGAGAAGUGAUUGACGGAGUUCUCCAGUCACUAUCACCAAGCUAACUAGAUCUUCGUGAUGAACUAUAACAUGCAAGGGAAGUUGAUCCCGGAGCUGUUCGUCAUGCUUAAGGCCGUAAAGGUAGAAGUCAAGAAGGAGCAUCAAGUGUUGAUGGUUAACAAGACCACUAGUUUCAAAGAAGGGCAAGGGCAAGAAGGGAAACUUCAUGAAUAUCAAGCCAGUUGCCGCUCUAGUGAAGAAAACCAAGAACCCAAACCCGAGACGAAGUGCUUCUAUUAGGGGAACGGUCACUGGUAGCGGAACUGCCACAAAUACUUGGUAGAUAAGAAGGCCGACGACUUCAACAAAAGUAUAUUUGAUAUAUGUGUUAUUGAUGUGUACCUUAUUAGUACUCCUAGUAGCACAUGGGUAUUAGAUACCGGUUCAGUUGCUAAUAUUGGUAACUCGAAACAUAAGCUACGGAAUAAACGGAGACUAGCUAAGAGCGAGGUGACGAUAUGUGUUGGAAGUGUUUCCAAGGAUGAUAUGAUCACCAUCGCACGCUCCCUCUACCUUCGGGAUUAAUGUUGAACCCAGAUAAAUGUUGUUUGCAUUGGUGUCUGCGUUGAGAAAUCGAGGAACUAUUAGCACUACCACAAAACCUGAUUCGCAACAUGACAUAAGAAUCCAAAUUGUUGAUCCCAAGUUCCCAACAUCACAAUCAUAUGCCAACGCAGUGUUCCAGCCAGCUUUAAUAGUAACCUUGGGAGUGAUUCUUACUACAGUAAAUUCUAUAAAUUAUGAUUGGAGUAAAAUGCAGUGAAAAUAUAUUUAUUUAACCAACCAAAGAUAGGAAUUCACACUAAUUAGAAUUUUUGUAAGAUAUUUGAGAUGGAAUUGGGAAGCCGCCAGCUGUGGGACAAUGAGUUGAUAUUUUGACAGUAAAAAAAUACACAUGAAAAUUUCUUUAACGACUUAUUGAGUGCCAAAAUGCAUGUUUACUCAAAGGGCAAAGGUUUGUACAUAUCCAUGAUACAAGACACUAACGCCAUUGUUUCCAACAGAGCACACUUUACAUGGUAGCAGUAUCAGUACUGCAUAUUAUUGCAUUAGUAAAAUAUGAGUUUGUUGCCAGCUAGAUUUCAUAAUGCAGAAAAUAAACACAAAAAUGUUCUAAAAAAAUAGGAAAUAACUUAAAAUUGGAUAUACAAGUCUCCCUACUGAUUUGAUGGCAUUAUGUUUUUUUUUGCUUGCCAAAAUAGGAAUAGCAGUUUAUAAGAAAAUAUGGCAGUAUAUCCUUAUAAUAUACAAAGUUUAUUCAAACAUAAGUCACCACACAUAACAUGCGAACUUGAGGGCAAAGACUUACCUUCGAUGAAAGAACCCUACUUUGUCAGUCAAUGGCUGAGAUCCAUUUCCCAAUCCAAAUAAUUACAGGUAUGCAAAGCAGUUCAGAGGAAGAAAAAAAAUGAGUUCCAUGUCUUUAUAAUGACAAGAUUAUAGAGCAAUUUUGUCAAACAGAUCAGAAAACAAGUAUGCAUCAUUUUCUUCCAGUGAAAGAGCAACCAAGUACCAACAUACAAUACUCCUAUAAAUUGGCAUGUCAUUGUCAGCAUCAAGCUAUUCCUUGCUUUGAAGGACCAGUUAAAAUUGCAUAGCACAUCUCUUAAGCCUAGUUUUUCAUCUCGUGCUUAGCUUUAAAUUAUGCCUUCUUGGUCUUGCAUGGUGUUAGAAGGGAGAGAGGGAUUGGUGUAAUGUUCGUUGUUUUGCUUGAGCCUCGUGGGCAUAUAUAUAGGAGUACAUGGUGAUCUUGGAGUACAAGGCAAGGUAGAAUAAUACCCUACGCUAUCCUAGCUUUCCUAAUAAUCACGAUACUCAACAUCCCCCGCAGUCACAACGAUAGCGACGCAGACGGUGAGACUGGAGAAGAAUCCGAAGGUAAGCCGACGGACACCCCCCACAGUCGUAACGGUCGACGCAUCACGGAAGUCGUGGCUGGAGUGGAAAUCGACGAGGUUGCUCAAGCAAGGCGGUAGCCCUUUGUGCCGUUUGUCGAGAUAGCCGAGAGCGUAGGUGGUGUAGCCGUAGUCGAGGUAGCCGUGCAAAGAAUGCCGUGGUCGGUGUCGAGUCGGGGGUCGCCGGUGUCGAGGUAGUCGCCGUGGAGCCGCGGAAGAAGAGCAGCGGUGGCAGCGGCCUAAGGAGGAGGCAGCGGCGGCUAGAGAAGGAGCACGGCGGCCGUGCUCGAAGUAGGCGAUAAUGAACCCGACAGCGUGACGAAGACCGACGCGGACGGUGACGUUCCCGCGCCAAGGGAGGCAGCGCAACGCAUAUCACGUGGAAGUCAACGCGCGUGGACGGCGGUGGACCGCGGGCCGCAGCGUUACGUCCCGAAGGGGCGACGCAACGACGGCCGGCUGGUCGGGGCGACGGCGGGGAUGACCUCAGGGCGGUUGCAGGGAUCACGUGCCACGCUCGCUACGGCCCGACGGGGCGACGCAGCGGCAGCGCGAGGGUCGGUGCAGCCUCGGGAACGCCCUGGAGCGGACGGCCUCCGUGCGGCGGUUGACCGCGGGCCGCGGCACUACAUCCCGAAGGGGCGACGCAGCGGCAGCGCGCGAUGUGGUGCAACCACGGGAACAGCCUCAGGGCGGCGGCGGGGAUCACGUGCCGCGGCACUACGGCCCGAAGGGGCGACGCAGCGGCGGCGCAGAUCGGUGCAGCCACGGGGAGAACCACGGGGCGGCGGCGCUGCGGCCCGACGGGGCGACGCAGCGGCAGCCUGUUGCUCGAUCGGCGGAGGGGCGCGCUGAACAUGGGGACAGGGCGGUGAUAGCCGGCGUAGAUCGACGAGCGGGCCGACGCGCGAACGAAGGCCGUGAGGGGCCGACUGUCGCGCGAGGCCGCCGGGUCGAGGCGACGGGCGGGCAGAUGCGCGGACGGCGGCCGUUAGGGGCCGCCUGUCGCGCCGAUGUCGGAGUAGAGGCGCACGGGGGUCGACGGCGGCGGCGGGCGACGCAAACCGAUCAAGUGGAGAUCGAAAAACCAAAAAGAAAAACGCCGAUCAAAACGACCGACGAGAGAGCGAAAAAACCCGGAGCAAGGGCUUGGGAAAAAGACUCUCUAGGGCAGCCGGUCAACACGACCGGCAGACGAACCCUAGGUACAGGGGGCGGCCCCCGGCGGCGGUCAUGAAGGCCGACCGCCCCGGGGGCGGCGCGCAGGUGCGGAAGCGGCGGCGGCUAGGGUUUAGGAUCGACUUGCGAUAGAUACCCUGUUAGAAGGGAGAGAGGGAUUGAUGUAAUGUUCGUUGUAUUGCUUGAGCCUCGUGGGCAUAUAUAUAGGAGUAUAUGGUGAUCUUGGAGUACAAGUCAAGGUAGAAUAAUAUCCUACGCUAUCUUAACUUUCCUAAUAAUCACGAUACUCAACAUAUGGAAUAGAACCGUAAGCACCAGAAGAAAUAUCAAGGUUUAGGACAAAACAAGAUAUGUUAAAAUACUCUACUUUCCCCCUAAAUGUCAAUAUUUGGCGCCACAUGUCUUCACUUGUACAUCAUGUCAGUUUAUAUUGUUAGUGGAUCAUCAACUACAGAAACAUAUCACAAUGAAUACCUCGGAUUCUAGGUUUGUCUAGAUUAUCAAUUUAACUGAUGCAUUAGCACGAUCAGGUUGCUUUGGGUCAACUACAAUCGAAAAUUAUGAUUUGAGGAAGUAAGUGAACCAUAAACUGAUGAACAACAGAGCUACGCGCUUUCAAUUUGAUUACCAGGGCCGCUACCCAUACUUGAGGAUGUGUGCAUCAUAGCACAAUGUGACUGACUGGAGCGGAGAUGCGUUCGCCAUGGCGGCUGUGUGCUGGCACACAAAUCAGCAAUUAGUACAGAUUGUAGCACAGUAUGAACAACAUAUAUGGGGAAAAAACAUCUACAGGGUGUUGAUUAGCUAUACAGAAAACCAAUCUGAUUGGAGCAUCACUAAAUUUUUAGGCGACAAACUCCAAAAUCGUGCAGCAGAGGAGAAAAUGGUGCAAGAGAAAAAAAAACUUCUUCAAUAGCAUGGUGGCCAAACAGAAAGAUCCACCCUCGGCCACGAAAGGAGAGGAAUCGGGAGGAGCUGGGUGUUAUGUCGUCACUUCACACCACCACGAGAUGAGAGGUCUAGGGUUUCACCGUCACGGAGUCAAAAUAAACUAUGAAGCAAGGGAGGUUGCGAGGAGAGGAAGGAAAAGUGCCCCAACAACGCGCCCUCCUAAAUCCGCCGCCAUCGCCGACCGUAUCCAGGUCAUCCUCGUCGGCUGGCCUCGCAUCAAGCUCCCCUUCUGCUUCCACAUCUGGAACAGGUCGUCGCCACCAGCUGCCACCUCUCUUGGGCGCAGUCCUUCACCUGAUUCCACGGCGGAGGAUUGUCCCGCGAGGCUGGCAAGGGAUGCGGAGGCGUAGGCGGCGACAACGGUGUGCGGGGAUGCGAGGAGGGAGAAGAUGCCAUCGUCUCCGGCGGCCGGGAGAGGAGGAGGCAGUGAGGAGCGAAGGGACGCACUCAAGUCGUUCGCUAGUUAGUUUUUAUUUUUUUCAAGGCUCAAGCGGGCUUCACACAAGGCCCAAUUAACCUCGGGCCUCCGAUUAGGCUAUCGGAGUAGCUGCCCAUAAGACAGUCGGCCCAGUUUCAUCUAAAUGCUGAUCAAACGACCAGGAAUGAUCCAGAGGCUUGAUCUGAUGGCCGAAAAUGCCAGGUGCGUGAGAGGGCUGGGAUAUGGUUCAGUUUUACUGUUUUUAAUUUUUGAUUGUUCCAUGCCAAUAUUAUACAACUUUCAUAUACUUUUGGCAACUUUUUAUACUAUUUUUAGGACUAACAUAUUGAUCCAGUGCCCAGUGGCAGUUCCUGUUUCUUACAUGUUUUAUGUUUCGCAGAAACCCCAUAUCAAACAGAAUCCAAACGGAAUAAAAAUGGACGUAGAAUAUUUUUGGAAUAUUUGGGAAAUAUGGGAGGAAGAAUCAACGCGAGACGGUGCCCGAGGUGGCCACGAGGCAGGGGGGCGCGCCCCUGACCCUCGCGGGCCACCCGUAAGGCGGUUGCUGCUCUUCUUUGGCCGCAAGAAAGCUAAUUUUCGGAGAGAAAAAAAAUCUUGUGACGCCCCCGAUUCAAUCGUACACUAUCAUGCACGCAAACGUGUACGAUCAAGAUCAGGGACUCACGGGAAGAUAUCACAACACAACUCUAAAAACAUAAAUAAGUCAUACAAGCAUCAUAAUACAAGCCAGGGGCCUCGAGGGCUCGAAUACAAGUGCUCGAUCAUAGACGAGUCAGCGGAAGCAACAAUAUCUGAGUACAGACAUAAGUUAAACAAGUUGCCAUAAGAUGGCUAGCACAAACUGGGAUACAGAUCGAAAGAGGCGCAUGCCUCCUGCCUGGGAUCCUCCUAAACUACUCAUGGUCGUUGUCAGCGGCCUGCACGUAGUAGUAGGCACCUCCGGUGUAGUAGGAGUCAUCGUCGAUGGUGGCGUCUGGCUCCUCGGCUCCAGCAUCUGGUUGCGACAAGCGAGAGGGAAGGAAAGGGGGAAAAGAGGGGGAAAAGCAACCGUGAGUACUCAUCCAAAGUACUCGCAAGCAAGGAUAUACACUACAUAUGCAUGGGUAUCUGUGUAAAGGGGCAAUAUCGGUGGACUGAACUGCAGAAUGCCAGAAUAAGAGGGGGAUAGCUAGUCCUGUCGAAGACUACGCUUCUGGCAGCCUCCAUCUUGCAGCAUGUAGAAGAGAGUAGAUGGUAAGUUCACCAAGUAACAUCGUAUAGAUAAUCCUACCCGGCGGUCCUCCCCUCGUCGCCCUGUGUGAGAGCGAUCACCAGGUUAUAUCCGGCACUUGGAAGGGGUUCUAGUUGUCAUAAGGUCAAGGUACAACUCCAAGUUGUCCUGUUACCGAAGAUCACGGCUAUUCGAAUAGAUAAACUUCCCUGCAGGGGUGCACCACAUAACCCAACACGCUCGAUCCCAUUUGGCCGGACACACUUUCCUGGGUCAUGCCCGGCCUCGGAAGAUCAACACGUCGCAGCCCUACCUAGGCACAACAGACAGGUCAGCACGCCGGUCUAAAUCCUAUGGCGCAGGAGUCUGGGCCCAUCGCCCAUUGCACACCUGCAUGUUGCGAACGCGGCCGGAAGCAGACCUAGCCUCCCUUAUACAAGAGUAGGCGUUCCAGUCCAAUCCGGCGCGUGCCGCUCAGUCGCUGACGUCAAGAAGGCUUCGGCUGAUACCACGACGCCGAGUGCCCAUAACUGUUCCCACGUAGUUGGUUAGUGCGUAUAGGUCAGUGGCCAGACUCAGAUCAAAUACCAAGAUCUCGUUAAGCGUGUUAAUUGAAGUAUCCGCGAACGCCGACCAGGGCCAGGCCCACCUCUCACCUAGGCGGUCUCAACCUGCCCUGUCGCUCCGCCACAAAGAUCCACCCAGAGGGCCGUCGGGAGAAAGGUCCUUUCAGCCCCCAAUCCGUGAAUCACUCGCAGGUGCUCCACGAGCCGACCCGAUUUUAGUCAGCACAUGUAUCAUGUAUAAAGUAAUAGUAUAUACCCGUGAUCCCUCCUGAGUGAUCACAACCCGAUAGUAUAGCACAGCAGAUGAACAAGAAUGUAGGGCCACAGAUGGAAUACUAGCAUCCUAUACUGAGCAUGUAGGAUUGCAGGUAAAGGUAACAACAGUAGUAGCAAGGAUAGGCUAUGCAUCAGAAUAGGAUUAACGGAAUGCAGUAACAUGCUACACUACUCUAUGCAAGCAGUAUAGAGAAGAAUAGGCGAUAUCUGGUAAUCAAGGGGGGUGGGGGGCUUGCCUGGUUGCUCUGGCAAGGAGGGGUCGUCAACAACGUAGUCGAUCGGGGCACCAGCAGCGGCGUCAGCCUCGUAGUCUACCGGAGAGAAGAGGGGGAAGAAACAAUGAAUACAAUGCAAACAGAUGCAUAACAUGUCAAGUAACGGUGCUAGGAGUGCCCUAACGCGGUAGGAGGUGAUACCGGCAAAGGGGGAAAACAUCCGGGAAAGUAUCCCUGGUGUUUCGCGUUUUCGGACAGAUGAACCGGAGGGGGAAAGUUGUGUGUUCGCUAUGCUAGGGAUGUGUGGCGGACGAACGGGCAACGUAUCGAGGUUCGUCUCGUCGUUCUGAGCAACUUUCAUGUACAAAGUUUUUCCAUCUGAGCUACUGUUUAUUUUAUAUUAAUUUAAAAUGGAUUUAGUCAUUUUCUAGAAUUAACAGAAUUAAUUUAAUUGAAAACCAUUUAUGACGUCAUCAUGAUGUCAGCAGUCAAAGCUGACCGUUAACCAGUCAAACUGACGGGUGGGGCCUGUUUGUCAUUGUCUGCCUAACUACUAACAGAUUAAUUAGAUUAGUUAGCAGGUUAAUUAGGUUUAAUUAGUUAACUAAUAGGAUUAAUUAAGUUAAUUAAUUACUUAAAUACUAAGUUAAUUAAUUUAAUUAUUGUUUUUCUGUCCUACCAUUUUUUUAAGGUUCUCAGGGGCGGGGCCCCACUUGUCAAUGGGCGAGGGGCCUUAACGGGUCGCGGGUGGUGGUUCUCGGCGCAGGGCGGAGCCGGGCGACGGGCGCCAGCCCGCCCAACAGGGCGCUGCGGCCAGCGGGGGAAGGGGGCCGGCGCGUGGCCUAGCGCCGGCGACCGUGGCCGNNNNNNNNNNNNNNNNNNNNNNNNNNNNNNNNNNNNNNNNNNNNNNNNNNNNNNNNNNNNNNNNNNNNNNNNNNNNNNNNNNNNNNNNNNNNNNNNNNNNNNNNNNNNNNNNNNNNNNNNNNNNNNNNNNNNNNNNNNNNNNNNNNNNNNNNNNNNNNNNNNNNNNNNNNNNNNNNNNNNNNNNNNNNNNNNNNNNNNNNNNNNNNNNNNNNNNNNNNNNNNNNNNNNNNNNNNNNNNNNNNNNNNNNNNNNNNNNNNNNNNNNNNNNNNNNNNNNNNNNNNNNNNNNNNNNNNNNNNNNNNNNNNNNNNNNNNNNNNNNNNNNNNNNNNNNNNNNNNNNNNNNNNNNNNNNNNNNNNNNNNNNNNNNNNNNNNNNNNNNNNNNNNNNNNNNNNNNNNNNNNNNNNNNGGGCGCGCGCAGCGCACGGGCGCUGGCGGCAGCGGCGCAGCAGCAACGGCACGAGGCGCGCGAGGCAGGCGCUGCGAGGCGAGCGGCGGGAAGGUCAUGGGCGCGUCGGAGCGAGCUCCAGGCGCGGGGGCGGCGGGCACGAUGGCCAGCGACGGGGGGACGCGUCGGUUAGGAAGCAGGCAGUAGCGGCAGGGGAAGGUUACCGGCGUGCUUGGCGCGGCGACGAGUGCGAGUCGGCGUGCGACAGAGGAGGAAAGGAGGAGAUCAGGGCUUACGGCGGGCGUAGGGAACAAGGCAGUGGUGCUCGAGGUGGGGGACGGGGACGACGCACGUAGGGGAGGCAGUCCGGCGAGGGAGCGUUCCGACGAGGCGGCUCCGACGUGGUCCAGGCGGCGGCGUCGAUGUCGUGCCCCGAUCCAGUUCUGGAUCGGGGAGGGGGUGAGGACGGGGAGGCGAGCGACAGGGGUCGAGGCGGCAAGGGCGGGGCGGCGCCGGAGACGACGAGCGGCGUCGGGGAACGCCGACGACGAGGUAGGCAGCGGGGCACCGAGGUCGGAGCCCGAUCCGGAUCGAGGGGGAGUGAUGGAGGAGAUGGGAUCGUGCGGGGGAGUGGGGGCGAGUGGUGAUCGUGUUCUAGGGUUUGCCCCGGGAUGGAGAUAAGGAGGGUGGGCGUGGGGGCCAGCUGGGCCGGCCUGAUUGGCCCAGAGGCCAGCUGGGUCAUGGCCUACUGGGAUUUGUGGGGUGGGCCGACUGCCUGGAGCCGAGGCCCAGUUGGGGGGGUGUUUGCCUUUUAUUUCUCUUGUUUUAUUUUUACCUUUUCUUUUCUGUUUCUUUAUUUCUCCUCUGAUUGGCCUUUAGUUUAGGUAGCAAAUGAAUUUUGGUGAACAUGAAACUUGGCACAUAAGUAUUGGGUCAUAUAGUUGACUUGCACACAAAGUAUCAAGUCAUUUUGAAAAGGAUUAAUAUUUGUUUACUUUUAAAAGGUUAAUUUAAAUGUUGUUUGUUCCAGUUUUAAUUAUCUUAUAGGCAUAUCAACAUUCCCAAAAUGUUGUUUGAUGUUUGUUAAUUUAUUAGUGAAUACUUACAACCUUUUGAACAUUUUUAAUUCACUCUUUUAGAAAUUAUAAUUUUGACUUGUUAUUUGAAUUUGAAUUUGUUCUCAGUUUGAAACAAGUGAGGUUUAGCAAAAGUUUAAUUAUGAUGACCUGGCAUGAUUAGCAAGGGUUUACUGUAGCUUAAUUAUCCGAGCGUCACAAUUCUCCUCCACUACAAGAAAUCUCGUCCCGAGAUUUAGGAGCGGGAGUAAGGGGGAAGGGAUUUGGUUACGAAAUUCUAACUGGUUUUCUUGGUGUUGGUUGGUCUUCUCGAUGAGGUCGAUCCAUUACAUUGACGUCUUCAUUUGUCUACUUGAGGUCAUCCUGAUGAAGUCGUCAUUCUUCCUCCAGGAUCUCCAUCGUACUUACGGAAAGCUAAGGGGGAAAAACUCGGGAAGGACGGAGCUCAACAUAUGUUAGGUACCUGGGGGCUAUCUCAGGGAACGUGGCAUAGAGGCAUCUCUCGAGUUGAAAUUCAAGAAAGUUAUCGAGAGCAAGGUAAGGAUGGGCAACAAGAAGCUCCAAGCGGGUAGGCAACCGUCCGUUGCGUGAAACAGAAUGUGAAAGGGGUUCAGAGCAACGGGAAUAAGUAUUGUGUUUCAUACCAGAAGUGAUGAUCUCUGGAAGGUGGCUCGUGAAUUACAUAUGAAGCCAAGCGUGAGGAAUAACUUUGGAAACAGGGGGUGUACAGGAGAGUCAGGUUUCGAUCCUGUGGAACUAUGGGUUAUGGGCCCACCAUGUGGAUUAACAGUAGGAAGGGCGGUGACGUCUUGCACGACCAUGUAAGCAUGGCAAGUUAGAGGAUAGCCUGUCGAUUAUGUCGGCAACAACGUCGGUACCAAGGGCGAGGGACAAAGAGAACCAUUUUCCUGCUCGUUGAACGAGGCGGACCAAUAGGCAAAGUUCUCGUCCAUCGGCGGCUACCGGAAUGUCAUCAACAAUAGUAACAGGGUCUUGCAGACGGAAUUGUACACCGAGGUGUUUACAUAAGUAGUGAAUCUUUACUGCUUAGAUUAUAUAGAUCACAAGAAAGGUCAAACAAACCAAUGAAAAGGAAAAUGUGAUCAUCAGGUUAAACAGAACAAUGGAAAGGGAAAUGUGUUUAAACACAUAUUCCAGGGGUAUAUCUUUCCCAAGGACAAGCAGAGCAUGAUAUCCAUGACAUGAUAGAAAGCAGAAAACCCUUUAGGUAAGGGGAGAGGAAUUUCAUGACAUUACCCAUACAGCGGUGUUUGGAUAAUUGAGCAGGAAACAUUUAGCAUUGGGCUUCAAAUGUUCUUGUUGAAAAUCGGAGUAUCAUAGACAUGCUUCGAGAUAGCAUUGACAUGGCCAUCAGGUGAAGAUCAGACUUUGGAAACACAAUGGAUCCAUCAGGAACAACUUAUAGAAUAAGUCUUACAAUUUCCUCACGGAAGAAUGACUAACCUUGCCAAAAAGGAAAUUAUAAUAAUAGGUCCUCCGGCCAGGUGUGCUAGGCAUGACAUCAUCUUACUGGGUCAUAUAAAGACCAAUGUUAUAAGUCUUGGAAAUAUGUUCCAACCAUCAUAUCUGACCGAGAUUCAGAUCUGAUUGGUGUCAGGAUAACUCAGACUCAGGAUGCCUGAGAAGAAAGGUGCAACACAAAUUGUCGAGAUGACAUUGUAAGAUUCUCGGGAAUUGAAAUAUGGAAGCGAGUUCUGAAACAAGAGUUCAUCAUUAAAUCAAGGAGAGGUGAGGAGGUGGCUGAUUGACUCAGCGACAAUUCAUUGAGAUUUUCAAAAGAUGGAUUUCCACACUUAUGUGAACAAGGAAUAUCAUUUGUCAGAUCAAAUGAUAUAAUGAGGUAUGCUCGAGGAAAACAUACACAAGUAAACAUUGUUGAAAGGUGCACCCAAAAGAUGGGCUUAGGUAGCAUGAUCAACGUUAGAAUGGUGGUUCAACAACCAAUAGUCUAAGAACGAACUAUCGACCAUCAACUUCAAAUCAAUAGGGUUGCUAGAAGUGCAGAAUCCAAGCAGCACCGUUCACUUGUUCGUAUCCCGGUUAGAAUCAACACGGGGACCAAGAUAUGAACAUUGAUGGCAAGAAGUAUUACUAUAUCAAGAAUUCUUAAGAGGUGGUGAAAUUCUCACAACAUUUUUGAUAUAUAAGACGGUAAUACUCCAAGGUAGGACAUAAGACAAGUUGGAUUGCCAGGAACUCAAGGUACAACCACAACACGGACAAGUUUGUGUUGGAAAGAAGGCAAGGAAGUAGUCGAUGACAACACAAAUCAUCGACGGGCAAGGAUGGUAAUUCUCAUCAUGAAUUUGAUUGAUAUUCUGGAAGGAGUCAAAUGUUGAUGAUGAUCACGACAAAUUUUGUCGAGAGAUUCAUGAGGAUGUAAUCGAUCAGCGAUGACAUCAAGUCAAAGGGAUGAUGAAGCAAGAGGUUAUUGGAACCAAGGGUACAACACAAACUCGAAAUCAAGUUUGUUGUUCAAGGAGAAAUGAUAUGAUGAGGAAGAUGGAUGUAAGCUUAGCUCAUCGUCGAAAAUUUUGCUACGGGGAGAAGGGCCAGGUAGCACAGUUAAAAUUUAGCACGAUAAUGAUAUAGCCGAUCAGGCUUGGGAUGACUUGAAGGAUUAUUAAACUCGUAAGCAACGAAAAUUACUUAGAGUUAUUGAAUCGGAGUGCGGACUCGAUUCACUAUUUGGUGUUCUCGGUUGACGACAACCCAGAUCCCAGGAAAAUUGGAAUCGGUGAGAAAUAACAGUUCAUGAAGAAACCAUAAGAAGUUAUGCAGUUCCACGAUAAUCUCGAGAUACCAGAGUGUAAUACUCGACAGUAGAUCAAAGUAAAGGUUGGACUUGGGUAUUGAUCCGCAGAAGACAAAUGCUUAAACUUGGCCGAGAAAUGGGAUAAAGAAGAACAAUAUUGUCGGAACCAUAGCCGCAAGGGAUCCAAUUUAAUGACACCAAAAGAAUUACCCAAAUGAUUAAAUAUUUUGCAAGAAGCUUCCAUGAUAAGUUCCACAUCGGGUCCAUGUGCACGAACACAAAGUUCAAGGUCGACUCCCACUUCUUUAAUGCAUAACCUUUCAUUCACUUCUCGUUUUGAUAAAGGCAUUAGUGUUGAAAGUUUUACCUGGUGAAAUACCAGAUGAGUAUGGCCCGUGAAAUCUUUCGGGUACACACAGAUUAGGGAAGGCGCUGGUUCAACCCAUCGGGGCAUCUUAGGAACAUAUACCACAAGAUUUAAUAGUAAAUAACACAAGCUCGAUAGUAGAGCACGGUUGACAAAAGCAGAGGAUACAAUUUACCGAAGGCAUUAUGUAUCAGGGAAAGAACUUCUCGAGGUUUUUGUAUACGAAAGACACUGUGGGAUGAUAUUUCAACAAAGGAUCCGAAGGUCCAUAGCGAGCUGAUGUGAGCAUCGGCACACAACCAGAGGAAGAAACACUGCGAAGGCAUUGGAUUAUAGAAGCAACUGACUAAUUCAAGGCUCAAAUGCAAAGGAAUUAUGAUUUCCAAUUCGAAGGAUCAGAAGCAGACGCUCUGAUCAAAGAUGGAUAAGUUGAAUAGACCAGAGGCACAAUCAACGACAAAUAGUUUGGUCAAGAACCAGCUCAUGUUCAAAAUGACGUCUGAGCUGGAAAGAUAAUUUAUAAGGAUCAAUUGAUAAGUGUGUGCAUUCGCACACAUGUUGAAUCAAUAGGAUCAAAAUGACCGUGUCAAAAGAUACUAAUGAAUAUUGCUAGACAUAUGGAGCAUCCAUAAUGUAAGCAUACAAGUAUUUGCAGAGCAAUAGUUUGAAGAGGAUUCUCAAAAGGUCGGAUACUAUUUCAGAGUAUCUUAUGAAGCAUACGAACAACUCGGGAUGAACGGAUACUCGAAAUGUGCGAGGAAUUAUCCAUAGGGGUAUUCAUGUGGUAAAGAACUGCAAGGCAGUAAGCUCAAAGGAUUUUCGGAACAACGAAGAGCAGUUCAGGGCAUCUUGUAAUAACAAGAGCAACUGAGGAUGAAUGUAUGAACGACAAAUGUAGGUAGUUAUCCAUAGUGAUGUUUCGGUGGUAGGGAAUUGCAAAAGCAACGGGGACAAAGUCUCGAGAGAACAUCGGAGAGUAUCUUCAGGAUCUUCUAAUGCAGCAGGUGACCAUCAGUAAUAAGGGGCUCUCCGGGUGGAAGUGAUCACGAGAUCCUAAUGUUAGAGUUAGCAAAAUCCGUUUAACCCGUGUAGAAAAGAGUUCAGAGUCCCGGAGUAAAGAUCGAGGAGUAAAAGAUCCUAAUACCACCCAAUGGCGACGUGGGCCCGUAAGCCACACAACCAUGUUAGUAAAAGUUUUGCAAUUGACUAGACUCAACUUCGGUCAAGGAGUUUGGAAAUAGUAAAAGUUUUGCAAUUGACUAGACUCAACUUCGGUCAAGGAGUUUGGAAGGGGGAUUCCUACAGGCAGUCGGCUCUGAUACCAACUUGUGACGCCCCCGAUUCAAUCGUACACUAAUCAUGCACGCAAACGUGUACGAUCAAGAUCAGGGACUCACGGGAAGAUAUCACAACACAACUCUAAAAACAUAAAUAAGUCAUACAAGCAUCAUAAUACAAGCCAGGGGCCUCGAGGGCUCGAAUACAAGUGCUCGAUCAUAGACGAGUCAGCGGAAGCAACAAUAUCUGAGUACAGACAUAAGUUAAACAAGUUGCCAUAAGAUGGCUAGCACAAACUGGGAUACAGAUCGAAAGAGGCGCAGGCCUCUUGCCUGGGAUCCUCCUAAACCACUCCUGGUCGUCGUCAUCGGCCUGCAUGUAGUAGUAGGCACCUCCGGUGUAGUAGGAGUCAUCGUCGAUGGUGGCGUCUGGCUCCUCGGCUCCAGCAUCUGGUUGCGACAAGCGAGAGGGAAGGAAAGGGGGAAAAGAGGGGGAAAAGCAACCGUGAGUACUCAUCCAAAGUACUCGCAAGCAAGGAUAUACACUACAUAUGCAUGGGUAUCUGUGUAAAGGGGCAAUAUCGGUGGACUGAACUGCAGAAUGCCAGAAUAAGAGGGGGAUAGCUAGUCCUGUCGAAGACUACGCUUCUGGCAGCCUCCAUCUUGCAGCAUGUAGAAGAGAGUAGAUGGUAAGUUCACCAAGUAACAUCGUAUAGCAUAAUCCUACCCGGCGAUCCUCCCCUCGUCGCCCUGUGUGAGAGCGAUCACCGGGUUAUAUCUGGCACUUGGAAGGGUGUGUUUUAUUAAGUAACCGGUUCUAGUUGUCAUAAGGUCAAGGUACAACUCCAAGUCGUCCUGUUACCGAAGAUCACGUCUAUUCGAAUAGAUAAACUUCCCUGCAGGAGUGCACCACAUAACCCAACACGCUCGAUCCCAUUUGGCCGGACACACUUUCCUGGGUCAUGCCCGGCCUCGGAAGAUCAACAUGUCGCAGCCCUACCUAGGCACAACAGAGAGGUCAGCACGCCGGUCUAAAUCCUAUGGCGCAGGGGUCUGGGCCCAUUGCACACCUGCACGUUGCGAACGCGGCCGGAAGCAGACCUAGCCUCCCUUAUACAAGAGUAGGCGUUCCAGUCCAAUCCGGCGCGCGCCGCUCAGUCGCUGACGUCAAGAAGGCUUCGGCUGAUACCACGACGCCGAGUGCGCAUAACUGUUCCCACGUAGUUGGUUAGUGCGUAUAGGCCAGUGGCCAGACUCAGAUCAAAUACCAAGAUCUCGUUAAGCGUGUCAAUUGAAGUAUCUGCGAACGCCGACCAGGGCCAGGCCCACUUCUCACCUAGGCGGUCUCAACCUGCCCUGUCGCUCCGCCACAAAGACCCACCGAGAGGGCCGUCGGAAGAAAGGUCCUUUCAGCCCCCAAUCCAUGAAUCACUCGCGGGUGCUCCACGAGCUGACCCGACUUUAGUCACCACAUGUAUCAUGUAUAAAGUAAUAGUAUAUACCCGUGAUCACCUCCCGAGUGAUCACAGCCCGAUAGUAUAGCACAGCAGACGGACAAGAAUGUAGGGCCAUAGAUGGAAUACUAGCAUCCUAUACUGAGCAUGUAGGAUUGCAGGUAAAGGUAACAACAGUAGUAGCAAGGACAGGCUAUGCAUCAGGAUAGGAUUAACGGAAAGCAGUAACAUGCUACACUACUCUAAUGCAAGCAGGAUAGAGAAGAAUAGGCGAUAUCUGGUGAUCAAGGGGGGGGGGGCUUGCCUGGUUGCUCUGGCAAGGAGGGGUCAUCAACAACGUAGUCGAUCGGGGCACCAGCAGCAGCGUCAGUCUCGUAGUCUACCGGAGAGAAGAGGGGGAAGAAACAAUGAAUACAAUGCAAACAAAUGCAUAACAUGUCAAGUAACGGUGCUAGGAGUGCCCUAACGGGUAGGAGGUGAUACCGGCAAAGGGCGAAAACAUCCGGGAAAGUAUCCCCGGUGUUUCGCGUUUUCGGACAGAUGAACCGGAGGGGGAAAGUCGUGUGUUCGCUAUGCUAGGGAUGUGUGGCGGACGAACGGGCUACGUAUCCGGAUUCGUUUCGUUGUUCUGAGCAACUUUCAUGUACAAAGUUUUUCCAUCCGAGCUACGAUUUAUUUUAUAUUAAUUUAAAAAGGAUUUAAUCAUUUUCUAGAAUUGACAGAAUUAAUUUAAUUGAAAAUCAUUUAUGAUGUCGUCAUGACGUCAGCGGUCAAAGCUGACCGUUGACCGGUCAAACUGACGGGUGGGGCCUGUUUGUCAUUCUCUGCCUAACUACUAACAGAUUAAUUAGAUUAGUUAGCAGGUUAAUUAGGUUUAAUUAGUUAACUAACAGGAUUAAUUAAGUUAAUUAAUUACUUAAAUACUAAAUUAAUUAAUUUAAUUAUUGUUUUCUGUCCUACCAUUUUUUAAGGUUCUCAGGGGCGGGGCCCCACUUGUCAAUGGGCGAGGGGCCUUAACGGGUCGCGCGUGGUGGUUCUCGGUGCAGGGCGGAGCCGGGCGACGGGCGCCAGCUCGCCCAAUAGGGCGCUGCGGCCAGCGGGGGAAGGGGGCCGACGCGUGGCCCAGCGCCGGCGACCGUGGCCAGAGCGGGGCGGUAUGGCGAGGCCGGCGGAGCGAAGGGAGGCGCGGUGGCAUGCACGCGGGGUGCUAGAGGCCCGGCCAGAGGCGGCGAUGCGCGUGGGGGUGGCUCGCCGGAGCCGCCGGGAGCAUCGGCGGGCAGCCAGGUACGGCGGGGCACCAACGGUCAGGGCUAGCAGCGGAGCAGUAGCGCGCUGCAGCGGUGAGGGCGGAGUGCGGCGACAGUAGCAUGUGGCAGCGACAACGCAUCUGCAGGGGCAGCGCGGGCGGAAGCAAGCAGCAGGCCGCGGGCGCGCGCGGCGCAUGGGCGCUGGCGUCAGCGGCGCAGCAGCAACAGCACGAGGCACGCGAGGCAGGCGCUGCGAGGAGAGCGGCGGGAAGGUCAUGGGCGCGUCGGAGCGAGCUCCAGGCGCGGGUGCGGCGGGCACGAUGGCCAGCGACGGGGGGACGCGUCGGUUAGGAAGCAGGCAGUAGCGGCAGGGGAAGGUUACCGCGCGUGGCGUGGCGACGAGCGCGGGUCAGGCGUGCGACAGAGGAGGAGAGGAGGAGAUCGGGGCUCACGGUGGGCGUAGGGAACAAGGCAGUGGUGCUCGAGGUGGGGGACGGGGACGACGGACGCAGGGGAGGCAGUGCGGCGAGGGAGUGUUCCGACGAGGCGGCUCCGACGUGGUCCAGGCGGCGGCGUCGAUGUCGUGCCCCGAUCCAGUUGGAUCGGGGAGGGGGUGAGGACGGGGAGGCGAGCGACAGGUUUUACCUUAAUGAGCAUUAGUAGUUGCCGACGCUUUCUAAUAGUUCCAAUCAUAAGUGCAUAGAGUUCCAAGUCAGGGAUGACAUGCUAGCAGUGGCCUCUCCCACAUAAAACUUGCUAUCAGUCUAGUAAAGUAGUCAAUUGCUUAGGGACAAUUUCGCAACUCCUACCACCACUUUUCCACGCUCGCUAUAUUUACUUUAUUGCUUCUUUAUCUAAAUAGCCCCUACUUUUUAUUUACGCGCUCUUUAUUAUCUUGCAAUCCUAUCCAAAAACACCUACAAAGUACUUCUAGUUUCAUACUUGUUCUAGGUAAAGCAAACGUUAAGCGUGCGUAGAGUUAUAUCGGUGGUCGAUAGAACUUGAGGGAAUAUUUGUUCUACCUUUAGCUCCUCGUUGGGUUCGACACUCUUACUUAUCGAAAGAGGCUACAAUUGAUCCCCUAUACUUGUGGGUUAUCAAGACCUUUUUCUGGCGCCGUUGCCGGGGAGCAAUAGCGUGGGGUGAAUGAACCACUCAAAAUCUAUCACACUCCUGAAGCUUUUUACUUGGAUCAUGUUCGAUCCCUUUGUGCUCGUGCUGAAACCCCAACUAGCUUAGUUGAGGGCAAAUCUUUAGAUGAGCAUGCUUGUUGUGUGCGACACCGCUUAUCUCAAAAAGGGAAACUUUUACAACAUCAAAUUAAUACUAUGCAAUGCUAUGCUUGGAAUUUAUGUGAAAUAUAUGCUUUUACUUGUUGUUCUAACGACCCUAAGAAACACCUUCCCUACCAAUGUGAGUUUAGUGAUAAUGGAAUCUUAUCUUCAUAUGCUAAGGGUGUUGAUAAUUACUAUGACGUUCAACAAAUUGAAGAAUUUGUUGCUUUUAAGGGUGCUUAUGAAAUUGCUUCUUUGAUUGAAAAGUAUAAUGCUACUCUUUACAAAUCUGAAAAUUUUGCCAUACUUGAAUAUUGUUAUGAUAAUUAUGCUUCUAAUGCCUAUGUUAAACCAUAUAUUGAGGACUCCUCUGCUGUCCAAGAAGAGACUAAUAUUUUGCAGGAGCCUAUGGAAGAAGAAAUUGAUGAAACUGUGAGCUCAUUGGAUGAAAAAGAUGAGGAGGAGAGCGAAGAACAAAAGGAGGAAGAGCGGAUUGAUCACCCGUGCCCACUUUCUAAUGAGAAUAACUCUUUAUCCCAUACAUUGUUUAAUUUCCGUUCGUGCUUACCGAAGGAUGGUUGCUAUGAUGAUUGUUAUGAUCCUGUUGAUUCUUUUGAAAUAUCCCUUUUUGAUGAUGCUUGCUAUGCUUGUGGCCAUGAUGCCAAUAUGAAUUAUGCUUAUGGAGAUGAACUUGCUAUAGUUCCUUAUGUUAAACAUGAAAUUGUUGCUAUUGCACCCACGCAUGAUAGUCCUAUUAUCUUUUUGAAUUCUCCUGACUACACUAUAUCGGAGAAGUUUGCACUUAUUAAGGAUUAUAUUGAUAGGUUGCCUUUUACCAUUGCACAUGACGAUUUUGAUGAAUAUAAUAUGCAUGUGCUUGCUGCUCCAACUUGCAAUUAUUAUGAGAGAGGAACUAUAUCUCCACCUCUCUAUGUUUCCCACACGGUAAAAUUGCAAGAAACUACUUAUGAUAUGCAUUGGCCUUUACUUGGUGUGCAUGAAUUGUUCUUUUAUGACAUGCCGAUGCAUAGGAAGAGAGUUAGACUUCGUCAUUACAUGAUAUAUGUUACCUUGUGCUCACUACUAAAUGCCAAAUCAUUGCUAAUCAAAAUUGGCUUUGAUAUACCUUGGGAUCUGGGUGGAUCCAUUACUUGAGCACCUUAUGCCUAGCUUAAUGGCUUUAAAGAAAGCGCUGCCAGGGAGACAACCCGGAAGUUUUAGAGAUUCAUUUAUUUCUGUUGAGUGCUUUUAUAUAGUUUAAAAACAAAAAAAUAAA
rnacentral:lncRNA from 1 species